rnacentral:rRNA from 1 species
UACAGAGGGGGCAAGCGUUGUUCGGAAUUACUGGGCGUAAAGGGCGCGUAGGCGGCCCGCUAAGUCGAACGUGAAAUCCCCGGGCUCAACCCGGGAACUGCGUCCGAUACUGGCAGGCUUGAAUUCGGGAGAGGGAUGUGGAGUUCCAGGUGUAGCGGUGAAAUGCGUAGAUAUCUGGAGGAACACCGGUGGCGAAGGCGGCCUGCUGGGCAGUGGCUGACGCUGAGGCGCGACAGCGUGGGGGAGCAAACAGG